UGGGGUAUAGCUCAGUGGUAGAGCACGUGCUUAGCGUGCAAAGGGCCUGGGUUCAAUCCCCAGUCCCUCCA
rnacentral:tRNA from 1 species